rnacentral:rRNA from 1 species
AUUGAACGCUGGCGGCAUGCUUUACACAUGCAAGUCGAGCGGCAGCGCGGGGGCAACCCUGGCGGCGAGCGGCGAACGGGUGAGUAAUGCAUCGGAACGUGUCCCGGAGUGGGGGAUAACGCCGCGAAAGCGGCGCUAAUACCGCAUAUGCUCUGAGGAGGAAAGUGGGGGACCCGCAAGGGCCUCAUGCUCUGGGAGCGGCCGAUGUCCGAUUAGCUUGUUGGUGAGGUAACGGCUUACCAAGGCGACGAUCGGUAGCUGGUCUGAGAGGAUGAUCAGCCACACUGGGACUGAGACACGGCCCAGACUCCUACGGGAGGCAGCAGUGGGGAAUUUUGGACAAUGGGGGCAACCCUGAUCCAGCCAUGCCGCGUGCGGGAAGAAGGCCUUCGGGUUGUAAACCGCUUUUGGCCGGGAAGAAAAGGACGCGGUUAAUACCUGCGUUUUUUGACGGUACCGGCAGAAUCAGCACCGGCUAACUACGUGC